GGCUUGAUGGUGUAGUGGUAACACAUCCCUUUCACUUCGGGCAACAUCAACAUAACUUCAUGGGAGGUCCCUUGUUCGAAUCAAGGUCAGGCCG